rnacentral:rRNA from 1 species
AAGUUUACCUUAUUUAGUGUGUAUCAAUCGAGUUUCUGACCUAUCAGCUUUUGAUGUUAGGGUAUUGGCCUAACAUGGCUAUGACGGGUAACGGGGAAUUAGAGUUCGAUUCCGGAGAGGGAGCCUGAGAAAUAGCUACCACAUCUAAGGAAGGCAGCAGGCGCGUAAAUUACCCAAUUCUAAAGAAGAGAGGUAGUGACAAGAAAUAACAAUACAAGGCCAUUUCAUGGUUUUGUAAUUGGAAUGAUGGGAAUUUAAAACCUUCCCAAAAUUCAAUUGGAGGGCAAGUCUGGUGCCAGCAGCCGCGGUAAUUCCAGCUCCAAUAGCGUAUAUGAAAAUUGUUGCAGUUAAAACGCUCGUAGUUGAAUUUCAAAGAAUCAAUAUUUUAAGUAAUGCUUUUGGUUUAAGAUGCUUAGGC